rnacentral:rRNA from 1 species
CCAAUAGCGUAUAUUAAAGUUGUUGCAGUUAAAAAGCUCGUAGUUGAAUUUCGGGGUCAGUAGGUUGGUCGUGCCACUGGUAUGUACUGGUCUCACUGAUUCCUCCUUCCUGAUGAGCUGUAAUGCCAUUAAAUUGGUGUUGCAGGGAAUCUGGACUGUUACUUUGAAAAAAUUAGAGUGUUUAAAGCAGGCUAACGCUUGAAUACAUUAGCAUGGAAUAAUGAAAUAGGACGUUCGAUCCUAUUUUGUUGGUUUCUAGGAUUGACGUAAUGAUUAAUAGGGAUAGUUGGGGGCAGUAGUAUUCAAUUGUCAGAGGUGAGAUUCUUGGAUUUAUUGAAGACUAACUACUGCGAAAGCAUGUGCCAAGGAUGUUUUCAUUAAUCAAGAACGAAAGUUAGGGGAUCGAAGACGAUCAGAUACCGUCGUAGUCUUAACCACAAACUAUGCCGACUAGGGAUCGGAUGAUGUUAAUUUUUUAAUGACUCAUUCGGCGCCUUACG